CACGUAAGCCCUUAGCGUUGUUCGGAAUUAUUGGGCGUAAAGGGCAUGUAGGCGGUUUUGCAAGCUUGAUGUGAAAUGCCGGGGCUUAACUCCGGCACUGCGUUGAGAACUGCAUGACUAGAGUAACUGAAGGGCAGCCGGAAUUCCAGGUGUAGGGGUGAAAUCUGUAGAUAUCUGGAAGAACACCAAUGGCGAAGGCAGGCUACCAGCAGAUUACUGACGCUGAGGUGCGAAGGUGCGGGGAGCAAAC
rnacentral:rRNA from 1 species